CGAAAAUAAAAUAGAGAGAAAUCAGCGUGGGAACUUUAUGAAGCCUAGCCUGCGAGAGAUGGUGACUUGGGUAAAGAAUUCAUGGGAUAAAAUCCUUGACAGCUAUGCUAUCAAUAUAUUAACAGCAGGCUAUAUGGACAAAAAAUGCUCACCUAAGGAGAGUUGUAUUGCUGGAAUGAGAGAUUGGGGCCAAUGGUUCGACAAGAAAUGGAGCCAAAAAAUUCAGGCGGAAUUCGGGGUCUGAAGAGUUAUGACGACGUUCCACAAGAAGAUAACAUGACUGUAUUUGAAUAAAUAUAGAUUUUUGUACACGAAUAACUGAAUAAAUAUAGAUUGUUGUGCAUGAAAAAUAAGACAUCCCUGAAAAUAAGCCCUAAUGCGUGUUUUGGAG
rnacentral:lncRNA from 1 species